rnacentral:rRNA from 1 species
AACGAACGCUGGCGGCAUGCCUAACACAUGCAAGUCGAACGAGACCUUCGGGUCUAGUGGCGCACGGGUGCGUAACGCGUGGGAACCUGCCCUUAGGUUCGGAAUAACUCCCCGAAAGGGGUGCUAAUACCGGAUAAUGUCUUCGGACCAAAGAUUUAUCGCCUUUGGAUGGGCCCGCGUUGGAUUAGCUAGUUGGUUGGGUAAAAGCCUACCAAGGCGACGAUCCAUAGCUGGUCUGAGAGGAUGAUCAGCCACACUGGGACUGAGACACGGCCCAGACUCCUACGGGAGGCAGCAGUGGGGAAUAUUGGACAAUGGGCGAAAGCCUGACCCAGCAAUGCCGCGUGAGUGAUGAAGGCCUUAGGGUUGUAAAGCUCUUUUACCCGGGAUGAUAAUGACAGUACCGGGAGAAUAAGCUCCGGCUAACUCCGUG